UACGGAGGGGGCAAGCGUUAUCCGGAUUUAUUGGGUUUAAAGGGUGCGUAGGCGGGCUGUUAAGUCAGCGGUCAAAUGUCGGGGCUCAACCCCGGCCUGCCGUUGAAACUGGGGAUCUAGAGUGUGCGAGAGGUAUGCGGAAUGCGUGGUGUAGCGGUGAAAUGCAUAGAUAUCACGCAGAACCCCGAUUGCGAAGGCAGCAUACCGGUGCACAACUGACGCUCAGGCACGAAAGCGUGGGUAUCGAACAGG
rnacentral:rRNA from 1 species